rnacentral:rRNA from 1 species
CGCCUGUUUAUCAAAAACAUUUUUUUAAGUUAAAAUAAAAUAUGGCCUGCCCAGUGAGGAUUAAACGGCUGCGGUAUUUUGACUGUGCUAAGGUAGGCAUAAAUCAUUUGUUUUUUAAUUGGGAAACUGGAAUGAACGGUUGAGCUAGCUUAAUAAGUGUGUUUAUUUACAUAUAAAAUUAAAGUCAGGGUAAGAAUUCUUUGAUGUUUUAGGGGACGAUAAGACCCUAUAAGCUUUAUAAAUAUAGGGUGACUUUGUUUUUCAAAUUAGUUUAUUUUACUGGGGCGGUAUUGGUGAAUUAACUACCAGUUUACACAAGAUCCUAAAAAUAUGGAAAGUAUGUAAAAGUUACUUUAGGGGUAACAGUGCAAUAUUUUUGGAGAG